rnacentral:rRNA from 1 species
UACGUAGGGCGCAAGCGUUGUCCGGAAUUAUUGGGCGUAAAGAGCUCGUAGGUGGCUUGUCGCGUCUGCCGUGAAAGCCCAUGGCUUAACUGUGGGUCUGCGGUGGAUACGGGCAGGCUGGAGGCUGGUAGGGGCAAGCGGAAUUCCUGGUGUAGCGGUGAAAUGCGCAGAUAUCAGGAGGAACACCGGUGGCGAAGGCGGCAUCCUGGACCAACACUGACACUGACGAGCGAAAGCCAGGGGAGCAAACGGG